AUGACACAGUUAUAUUAUAGUCCUUAUUUUAAAGGUGAACUCUACUUUUAACGUGACAGUUGACCCACAGAUUUAAAAUGGCGCGUGAGAAGUCAUUUUGUAACUACGGACUAUU